GACGAACGCUGGCGGCGUGCCUAAUACAUGCAAGUCGAGCGGACUAAUGGGAGCUUGCUCCCAUUAGUUAGCGGCGGACGGGUGAGUAACACGUGGGCAACCUACCUGUAAGACUGGGAUAACUUCGGGAAACCGGAGCUAAUACCGGAUGACAUAAAGGAACUCCUGUUCCUUUAUUGAAAGAUGGCUUCGGCUAUCACUUACAGAUGGGCCCGCGGCGCAUUAGCUAGUUGGUGAGGUAACGGCUCACCAAGGCGACGAGGCGUAGCCGACAUGGGAGGGUGAUCGGCCACACUGGGACUCAGACACUGCCCGGACUCCUACGGGAGGCAGCAGUAGGGAAUCUUCCGCAAUGGACGAAAGUCUGACGGAGCAACGCCGCGUGAGCGAUGAAGGCCUUCGGGUCGUAAAGCUCUGUUGUUAGGGAAGAAUAAGUGCUAGUUGAAUAAGUUGGCACCUUGACGGUACCUAACCAGAAAGCCACGGCUAACUACGUGCCAGCCGCCGCAGUAAAAC
rnacentral:rRNA from 1 species